rnacentral:rRNA from 1 species
AUUGAACGCUGGCGGCAUGCUUUACACAUGCAAGUCGAACGGUAACAGGCCGCCAUGUGCUGACGCGUGACUGACGGGUGGGUAAGUCAUCCGAACGUGCCCAGUCCUUGGGGUUGACUACUCGUAAGAGUAGCUAAUACCACAUACGAUCUAUGGAUGAGAGCGAGGGACCGUAAGGCCUCGCGCGGUUGGAUCGGCCGAGGUCAGAUUAGGUUGUGCUUGGGGUAAAGGCUUACCAAGCCAACGAUUUUGACAUGGUCUGAGAGGACGACCGGCCACACUGGGACUGAGACACGGCCAAGACGCCUACGGGAGGGAGCAGUGGGGAAUUUUGGACAAUGGGCGCAAGCCUGAUCCAGCAAUGCCGCGUGUAGGAAGAAGGCCUUCGGGUUGUAAACUGCUUUUGUACGGAACGAAACGGUUUUGGUUAAUACCAGGGGUUAAUGACGGUACCGGAAGAAUAAGCACCGGCUAACUACGUG